rnacentral:misc_RNA from 1 species
AUAAUUUGCUGAACCUAGCGUUAGCAAGGUUCUGCGAUCCAACUUUUAUAGUUUAAAACCCCAACUCUUAAAUGUAUAAUUAUGUAUUUUUUAAAAUGAUAAAAAAAGA